GACUUACUGGUUCAGCGGUAGGGCGUUUGACGAGGAGUCAGAGGUCCUGGGUUCGAUCCCCGACGGGGUUG
rnacentral:tRNA from 1 species